rnacentral:misc_RNA from 1 species
UCUAGACACAGGAGCCCAUAAAAGUAUGAUGAACCCUGCCAUUCUCCCUCCAGAAAGUUGGAUACCACAUACAGAGUACUUCAAGGCUACAGAUGGAAAUAUUUUCAAAAUAAAUUUGAUUACCAAGCACCCCAUUGGUAUUUAGUUUUUCCCGACCUGCAUCCUUUGGACUAAGAUUAUUGGUUCUGAUUUUUCAGAUAAGGAUCUUUUAAUUGGUUUUGAUCUAUACCAACAAGUUAAACAUCUGAAGAUCCUACCCAGG